rnacentral:rRNA from 1 species
CGGAUGAGAGGAGCUUGCUCCUCGAUUCAGCGGCGGACGGGUGAGUAAUGCCUAGGAAUCUGCCUAGUAGUGGGGGACAACGUUUCGAAAGGAACGCUAAUACCGCAUACGUCCUACGGGAGAAAGUGGGGGAUCUUCGGACCUCACGCUAUUAGAUGAGCCUAGGUCGGAUUAGCUAGUUGGUAGGGUAAAGGCCUACCAAGGCGACGAUCCGUAACUGGUCUGAGAGGAUGAUCAGUCACACUGGAACUGAGACACGGUCCAGACUCCUACGGGAGGCAGCAGUGGGGAAUAUUGGACAAUGGGCGAAAGCCUGAUCCAGCCAUGCCGCGUGUGUGAAGAAGGCCCUCGGGUCGUAAAGCACUUUAAGUUGGGAGGAAGGGCUUACAGCGAAUACCUGUGAGUUUUGACGUUACCGACAGAAUAAGCACCGGCUAACUUCGUGCCAGCAGCCGCGGUAAUACGAAGGGUGCAAGCGUUAAUCGGAAUUACUGGGCGUAAAGCGCGCGUAGGUGGCUUGAUAAGUUGGAUGUGAAAUCCCCGGGCUCAACCUGGGAACUGCAUCCAAAACUGUCUGGCUAGAGUGCGGUAGAGGGUAGUGGAAUUUCCAGUGUAGCGGUGAAAUGCGUAGAUAUUGGAAGGAACACCAGUGGCGAAGGCGACUACCUGGACUGACACUGACACUGAGGUGCGAAAGCGUGGGGAGCAAACAGGAUUAGAUACCCUGGUAGUCCACGCCGUAGACGAUGUCAACUAGCCGUUGGGAUCCUUGAGAUCUUAGUGGCGCAGCUAACGCAUUAAGUUGACCGCCUGGGGAGUACGGCCGCAAGGUUAAAACUCAAAUGAAUUGACGGGG